UUGAAGGAUUUUUUUUUUUGGGAGGGGAUAAUUAAGAUAUCGUUCUUUCCGCUUUAUAUUUUGUACACGUGAGAAAGAAUUCGUAUAUUUUGAUGAUACGUUGAGAGAGAUUAAUAAGAGAUGGAAGAGAAAUUAUACUUCAAUCUUGGCGAUGUUGAGAAGGGGAUUUUACUUGCGUAACGAUUAGCAGAAAUUUUCUUAAAUUUAUUUGGAUUAUAAUCUUAGAGUUGAUGUGCGAAUAUGUUGCGUAAUAUUACUCAUAAAUGGUGCACAGUGAAGAAUGAUAAUCUCGAUACUUGAUUUUUUAAUAUAAUAUGAUUCGUCGAAAAGCGAUCGAUUCUUUAAUCGUGCUAGAAGAGAGUUCAAAAAUAUCAUAUGUUUAACGAGGAUUCCUGUUUAAUUUCGCGAAAUCUUUAAUCCAAUCUCGACGAUAUCCCACUCGGAUGAAAAUCCGCCCCGUCGGAAUGUCUCGGAAUGGAAACAGCUGGUAAGCACGAGUGAAAAGCAAAUGAAACGUCGUCGGCUCGCUUGAGAGUAUCCGCAAAGGACGAUGGAGUUAAUGCGGCGUUGUUUCGCGGAGUGAUUCAAUUAAGAGACCGUUAAUUAAUUAAUGCGAGGAGGAGACGAAAUAGAAAUUUACCCAAGCCCUAGACUCCUCGAGCGUUCGCCAGGAGGAGGAGGAGGAGGAAGGGCAAAAAGCGGAAAGGAGAAAUGCUUGGUUUAACGUAACAAAGAGUUGAACAGCGAUGUAAAUGAAACUUGCGUGAAAUAUAUAUAAUUUCAACGUUUAUCGUCCUUGGAAAUGUAUAUCGUGUCAACUUUCAAGAAAAAUAAUUCUUCAAACGCUCGCGAGCAAUGGAAGCAAUAAGCAAAAUAAGAAGCAAAAAGAUCGAAAUAACGAAAAGUUUUCAAAUCUUCUUCACUCUCAAAGGGAAAUUUUUCAAAUUCUUAUCUAAAAUUAUCUAAAAUUCUUUCGAAAAACACGAUAACUAUAUAAAUUAACCAGAUAGCCGAAUAAAGAUUAAACGAUAUCAUUAAUCCCAAGUUACUAGCAGUUCCAAACCCUUAAGCAGACUAAAUCCACAUCGAGAAACGUUUCCUCUCGGUCUUACAGCUAGCCAAGAGGAAAUCCCUUCGAUUCCGGAAGAAAGGUCCAGCCAAGCAGCAUCAACUUCCAUCGCAAUUACGUGAAUUAAUUUUAACAGUUUUAAUCCGUGCCGACCAAGUUUCCGCUGCUUAAUCCUCGGUUCUGCCCCGGUGUGAAGCAUGGCUUUUCUAAGUAAAAGUUCUUCCCAACUUUUUGCGUUUCUACGAAGAAAAUAACGGGACCGGAAGAGACUGAGGAGAGGAUAAUUGAAGGAACGAGCGAGAGCGAAAGUGUCGAAGUCAUUUGCAAUUUUCUCCUUAAGUUCUUCUUUGACUGAAUUUCACUGAAAUAAAUUUUUUGUUAUUGAGAUAUCGUGUAUAAUUGUGAGAGAGAGAAAAAAUUAAAUUAUUAUUAGCAAUGGCUCGAUGAACUCUAUAUUUUUGCUAUAUUUAUGUUCGCAGAAGAAAUUGAAAAGUUUUCUUUAUUCAGACGGAAACAAAAUAUUUUUCUCCAUGGUAUAAACACGAAUAAAUAAAUAGUUAUCAUUAAACAAUUCCAAGCAUUAUGGAAUUUACCUGAAAAAAAAAAUAUCACAUUCUUUGGAGUUUAUUCAAGUAAAUAAGCUAUUAUUAUCUCUCUUACUUUUCGCAAAUAUUUCAAUACUAUUGUGCCACAAAAA